CCCUGAGGACGACCUCAGGGAAAACGAAUUUUUGCGGGACGACCCGC
rnacentral:ncRNA from 1 species